AUUGAACGCUGGCGGCAGGCCUAACACAUGCAAGUCGAGCGGAGCGGCGGACGGGUGAGUAAUGCCUAGGUCUCUGCCCGGUCGUGGGGGCUAACGUCCGGAAACGGGCGCUCAGACCGUAUACUAUCAGCUGAGCCUAGGUCGGAUUAGCUAGUUGGUGGGGUAAAGGCCUACCAAGUCGACUAUCCGUCACUGGUCUGAGAGGAUGAUCAGUCACACUGGAACUGAGACACGGUCCAGACUCCUACGUGAGGCAGCAGUGGGGAAUAUUGGACAAUGGGCGAAAGCCUGAUCCAGCCAUGCCGCGUGUGUGAAGAAGGUCUUCGGAUUGUAAAGCACUUUAAGUUGGGAGGCGUUACCAACAGAAUAAGCACCGGCUAACUUCGUGCCAGCAGCCGCGGUAAUAC
rnacentral:rRNA from 1 species